rnacentral:rRNA from 1 species
UGGAUAUCUGCCUUUUGGUUCGGAAUAACCCCGGGAAACUGGGGCUAAUACCGGAUGGUUCCUUCGGGAUAAAGAUUUAUCGCCAAAAGAUGAGUCCGCGUACGAUUAGCUAGUUGGUGAGGUAACGGCUCACCAAGGCUACGAUCGGUAGCCGGCCUGAGAGGGUGACCGGCCACACUGGGACUGAGACACGGCCCAGACUCCGUACGGGAGCAG